rnacentral:rRNA from 1 species
CCUACGGGAGGCAGCAGUGGGGAAUUUUGGACAAUGGGCGAAAGCCUGAUCCAGCAAUGCCGCGUGAGUGAAGAAGGCCUUCGGGUUGUAAAGCUCUUUUGUCAGGGAAGAAACGGUGAGAGCUAAUAUCUCUUGCUAAUGACGGUACCUGAAGAAUAAGCACCGGCUAACUACGUGCCAGCAGCCGCGGUAAUACGUAGGGUGCAAGCGUUAAUCGGAAUUACUGGGCGUAAAGCGUGCGCAGGCGGUUUUGUAAGUCUGAUGUGAAAUCCCCGGGCUCAACCUGGGAAUUGCAUUGGAGACUGCAAGGCUAGAAUCUGGCAGAGGGGGGUAGAAUUCCACGUGUAGCAGUGAAAUGCGUAGAUAUGUGGAGGAACACCGAUGGCGAAGGCAGCCCCCUGGGUCAAGAUUGACGCUCAUGCACGAAAGCGUGGGGAGCAAACAGGAUUAGAUACCCUGGUAGUCCACGCCCUAAACGAUGUCUACUAGUUGUCGGGUCUUAAUUGACUUGGUAACGCAGCUAACGCGUGAAGUAGACCGCCUGGGGAGUUACGGUUGCAAGAUUAAAACUUCAAAAGAGUAGUUCGGCGUUGNGAGAGCGACGACGACGACGACGGAGGAGGAGG